AAAGUACUCCCUCCGUCCCAAAAUUCUUGUCUUAGAUUUGUCUAGAUACGGAUGUAUCAAGUCACAUUUUAGUAUUAGAUACAUCUGUAUCUAGACAAAUCUAAGACAAGAAAUUUGGGACAGAGGGAGUACUUG
rnacentral:pre_miRNA from 1 species